UACGAAGGGUGCAAGCGUUAAUCGGAAUUACUGGGCGUAAAGGGUGCGUAGGCGGUUUGGUCAGUCGGAUGUGAAAGCCCUGGGCUCAACCUGGGAACGGCAUCGGAAACGGCCAAGCUUGGAGUCUAGGAGAGGGUGGUGGAAUUCCCGGUGUAGCGGUGAAAUGCGUAGAGAUCGGGAGGAACAUUCGUGGCGAAGGCGGCCACCUGGCCUAAGACUGACGCUGAGGCACGAAAGCGUGGGGAGCAAACAGG
rnacentral:rRNA from 1 species